rnacentral:lncRNA from 1 species
AAGCUAGAUCUUGACGUAAUUUCUUCUGAUGUAGCUAGCAGGUGGCAGAGGUGUAUUUGAAUGUCGGCAGCACCGUGACAGCGAUUAGGAUGUCCUCCGUUUGCUAGUCUUCUUUGAAUUCUGUGGAGCUCAAAUCGACAACAAAGCUUUGUGGAACUUGUUAAGUGUUAGCAUAAAUACCUAGCCUUUGUCAUGUUGAGCUUCCUCAAUAAGUGUUACUCUCUAUUUUUAUAUUUACAUUUUUAUAGAGCAGAAAUAAUUAUUUAUUUUAUUUUUAUGCCACCACAGUGAAUGUACUUAUGUGUUUUAUGCCACUCGUAUACUCACAUGGGGCUUACUAUUUUUUAACAUUUUUAUUUUCUUUUCAAGAUAGUAUGAACCUGAUUAACUAAACAAGCUAUUUAAGGAAAAGUAAAUAAUUAAAGGGAAAAGGGAUAACUACCAAGUUUACCUCUUGGCACGGUGUUUGGUGCUUUUAAGUCCUCCGAACGGGACUCCUUGUGUUCUCAGUUGUCCUGGGAUUCGCUGGAUGGCGUAGACGGUGGUUCCGGCGGCGCCUCCUCUUCGCGUAGAACUAUCUUUGCUCUCCACACCUGACUUGGUGCUACGGUCUCUUGUUCAAGCUGUAUGUCCUCAGACCUUACUACAUCUCCUUCGUAGUCUUCCCAUCUGUCCUUGAUGUUUUGCCUCCUCUAAUUGCGGUUGCGUCGCCUUCUUCUUGUCCUGACCUGCUUAGAGUCUUCAACUAUAUAGUUAGGGUCAUUAAAGUAGUGGCGUACCUUCUCAGAGGGGAAGUGCAUGUGGACUUCUCCGGUUCCAAUGUAGA